GGAGAGGUGGCUGAGUGGUCGAAAGCGCUGUCUUGGAGAGACAGUGUUCCGGAAACGGAACCGCAGGUUCGAAUCCUGUCCUCUCCGCCA
rnacentral:tRNA from 1 species